rnacentral:miRNA from 1 species
UGUCUCCCUGGUGGGCUUUUU